CGGUAAAGAGCGGCGGACGGGUGAGUAACGCGUGGGUAACUUACCCUGUACACACGGAUAACAUACCGAAAGGUAUGCUAAUACGGGAUAAUAUAUUUGAGAGGCAUCUCUUAAAUAUCAAAGGUGAGCCAGUACAGGAUGGACCCGCGUCUGAUUAGCUAGUUGGUAAGGUAACGGCUUACCAAGGCGACGAUCAGUAGCCGACCUGAGAGGGUGAUCGGCCACAUUGGAACUGAGACACGGUCCAAACUCCUACGGGAGGCAGCAGUGGGGAAUAUUGCACAAUGGGCGAAAGCCUGAUGCAGCAACGCCGCGUGAGUGAUGAAGGCCUUCGGGUCGUAAAACUCUGUCCUCAAGGAAGAUAAUGACGGUACUUGAGGAGGAAGCCCCGGCUAACUACGUGCCAGCAGCCGCGGUAAUACGUAGGGGGCUAGCGUUAUCCGGAUUUACUGGGCGUAAAGGGUGCGUAGGCGGUCUUUCAAGUCAGGAGUGAAAGGCUACGGCUCAACCGUAGUAAGCUCUUGAAACUGGGAGACUUGAGUGCAGGAGAGGAGAGUGGAAUUCCUAGUGUAGCGGUGAAAUGCGUAGAUAUUAGGAGGAACACCAGUUGCGAAGGCGGCUCUCUGGACUGUAACUGACGCUGAGGCACGAAAGCGUGGGGAGCAAACAGGAUUAGAUACCCUGGUAGUCCACGCUGUAAACGAUGAGUACUAGGUGUCGGGGGUU
rnacentral:rRNA from 1 species